UACGGAGGGGGCUAGCGUUGUUCGGAAUUACUGGGCGUAAAGCGCGCGUAGGCGGCUUUGUAAGUUAGAGGUGAAAGCCCAGGGCUCAACCCUGGAAUUGCCUUUAAGACUGCAUCGCUUGAACAUCGGAGAGGUAAGUGGAAUUCCGAGUGUAGAGGUGAAAUUCGUAGAUAUUCGGAAGAACACCAGUGGCGAAGGCGGCUCACUGGCCCGGUACUGACGCUGAAAUACGAAAGCGUGGGGAGCAAACAGG
rnacentral:rRNA from 1 species